rnacentral:misc_RNA from 1 species
UCUCCGUUGGUGAACCAGCGGAGGGAUCAUUACCGAGUUUACAACUCCCAAACCCAAUGUGAACCAUACCAAACUGUUGCCUCGGCGGGGUCACGCCCCGGGUGCGUCGCAGCCCCGGAACCAGGCGCCCGCCGGAGGAACCAACCAAACUCUUUCUGUAGUCCCCUCGCGGACGUUAUUUUUACAGCUCUGAGCAAAAAUUCAAAAUGAAUCAAAACUUUCAACAACGGAUCUCUUGGUUCUG